GAUACCCUAUUAUUUUGAAUGUAAUUUUUUCCUAGAUUAUUAAUAGUUAUGGUCUUUAAAAUUAAAAAAUUUGGCGGUAUUUUAGUCUGUUCAGAGGAACCUGUUUUUUAAUUGAUAGUCCACGAUAAUUUUUACUUUAGCUUUAAAUUUGUAUAUCGUCGUUUAUAAAAAUUUUAGUAGAAUAGAAAUUUUUAGGUUGUGGGAUGUUUAAUUUAUUUCAGAUCAAGGUGUAGUUUAUGUUAAAGUUUAAAUGGGUUACAUUAAGUUUAUGAUUGGAAUUAAGAUUUAAAAUUUUGAUGAAAUUGGAUUUGAUAGUAAAUUCUUUGUUUUUGGGAUUUGAUUUAGCUCUAAAAUAUGUACACAUCGCC
rnacentral:rRNA from 1 species